GGGGGGGGGGGGGGGGGGGGCAAGCCACCCUUAUAACUGGCUUUCUUCAUGGUUCUCUAAAAAUUAAGGCUUUCCUUGCGAGACGAGAAUCUUCACCAUCUGAAUCAUGAGUAAGUUAUAUUUUCCUUUUUUCCCUGUAUUUCUCGUUUAUAAUUUAUUUUCAUAUUUGCACUAUGUUUCUUAGUUUAUAUAUAUUUAUACUACUUGAAAAGCGGUUUACUGUACUUCCAACUUCUUAAUAUCAUUAUAGUUCUACUGUCCUGCAUAUCCUACUAUUCUGUUUUUUAUAGAGUUUCUCUAUUACUAUAAGAUAUUAUUAAAGUUAUUCAUGUGUGUUUAUGUAUGUUGUGUCUACUUGCCCGCCCUUGACUGCACGAGUGUGUGUGUGUGUGUGUGUUUUUAGCACUCCUCAGCUCGUACACUUCUUUUUGACUUUUUUUGACUAUUACUGCUCUUAAAUUGCUCGUAAUUCCAAUCUGUCAAUGUCCGCCUAAUCCCGCUUCUAUGUGUCUAGGUGCCCGUUUUUCCUUCUUCUCCCUUAUGUUUAUUUUAUGACAUUUUUUAUCCACAACACUAUGGACUACAGAGGUAUGUGGUUUUAGCUUUGUUGCUUAGCUGUGUGAUGCUAGCGUUGUCUAUUUACCGUGCGCUUUAUUUGUUUAGUGUGACGUUGGGCUACUGAGACUGUGUGCAGGUGUGAUGUGCUGCUCAUAAUCAGUGCGCUGUGCAGUCAAGGCUCCUAACUGUGUAGCAUGGUAGUUUAACGUAGCUCCGGUCGGAGCGCCAGCUGUUGCCGUCACAACUAUUAAAGACGCUAUCAUGAUUUUCGUGAGUACCAUGUCAUCGGAUUACGGUAGGUAAAUCGUUUAGUUCUGUAAUUUAGCUAAACUUUUAUGUAUGCUUUCCAAAUUGAGGUUGUAACACCUGUUUGUUCUUAGGGUCCUUGAUUUUGCAUGCGUUAAGGCGGGUUGAGUGAGAUGUGGUCAUAUCGGUAUAGCGCCUCCCCCCUCACUCAGGGAGCCACGUUGCUGCUUGAUUGCUUGGUUUUUUCUGUUUGGUUGGUGCUUGAUGCUGCUUUGUUGCUGCUUCAUGAUCCGAUUCGGUUUUAUUUUGUUGUGUGUGUGGUGUUUUUAUUUAUUUAUUUAUUUAUUUAUUUAUUUAUGUAUUUUUAUUUAUUUAUUUAUUUUUAUUGUUUUGUGUUUGUUACUGUCAUUAAGAUCAGUUUUCUUUAAGUCAACUGUGUUGUAACAGUCUUUCAGUUAUGCUGAUACUGCUAUGUGGUAGUAAUACGUUUUGGUCAGUCUUGUUAAACUUGCUACCUGUAAUCAGUUUGAGCUCGAGGUUAUGUGUUUUUAUGACAGUACGUUUGUCUUUGUUUUGUUUUAUUCUUUUGAUUGUCUGCUUUGACUAUCUUUGUUUUCUCUUUGUAGGAGAUGAAUGCUUCCUGAGGUUUGGGGAGUUCUUUGCUGCACCUUUUGGCUUUACUUAACUAAGGGUCGUUAUUAUUGCGGUGUUUAUUUGCAGUGAACUUUGUGGGUAUGAUUCUGAUUGGUGGGGUUCUUUUCCCUUUUGUAUAGCUGGUACUGCUUUAUUAGCCUGCCCCUCAUACAGGAAGCCUCAGUCCUCCUAUGAUUAUUGUUAACUGCCUCUUGUGACUGUUUUAUUUAACCAAUGCUUGAUUGUGUUGGCUGCUCCUUUUUAAAAAAAAAAAAAAAAAAAUAGUUCUUGGCCAGUCUUUUUUAACACAAAUAAAAUGUAUUUUUGUAUGGAAACCCAUGCGUCUUGCCUGUUCUAAGUGGAACGUACUUGCGUGUCCUUAUUUGGGUUAUUCUCCCCGUUUUCUCAGUAGGGCGUAGUUGGUACAUUUAACGAAACAAACGAGCUGCAUAGCUACAUGUGGUGUAGUUGUAGAGCAAAACGAGCCACAUUGCUACAUACACUUAUAAAAUAUUGACUAUAUUGCCAAAUUCUACAAUGUUUUAUGAAAAAUACAACUUUAAAUAUGGCCUCAAAGCAUCAAGGAAUAGUAAUGUGCUGAACAAAUAUCCGUAUGUUUUACACCUUGGUGGUCUUUGCCCAGACACUUCCAUGUCUGCCCUCUUUAUAGCUGUCUGUAAAAUACAGUUUCAUUUAAACAUCAUUCAAUCCCUUCAGGAUCACUCAAUGAGACAAAAAAAAUAGUAUGUUGAGACUAAGGCUAAGAAUUGCACAAACGCUAUAAGAAAUACAGUGCUGAGCUGAACAAUGGGUCUGUUAUCAUGCCAAGUGGACAAUAUGAUCUAAUAACGAGACCACAGCAUGCUGCAACCUGUGUGGGUUUUCUGACAGAACAUAUUAAGUUAGCAUUAGCUCCAUGUUCCAGACAGUUCUAACCAAACAUAUAGGAAUAAAAAGUAGUAAAAGAGGAAAGGGAAGGAAUAAACGAGGAGUUUGUGUCUCAGUUGUAGAGCAAAAAAAAACUUUAAGUGUCUGUGAGAAUCAGCAUUGUCACGAAAAACUGAUCAACGUUCUUCAGCCAAGCUUUAGACCCCCCCCCCCCCGAAAUUACUUACCUUCUUCAGCUGAAAUUAUUCCUCUUGAAAACGAAGAAUGACUGCAGCCUCUAGGAUCCUAACUGAUUUAACUGUCAAAACUUUGAUUUUUUUUUUCCAGGCAGUUGAACACCUUAAUUCUAGCUGUGGCUCGACUGUGACUUAACGAACUCGGGCCGAAAGUAGAUACACACAGCUACACCGAGUAUGGACCUGCGGCAACUACACCUGCUUUCAGCUGAGAUAGCAAAAACCGUCUGUCAGCCAGAAGUGGUGUGAACAGUCAGCAGAGCUCUGUGCAAUUACCUUUGAGCCGACAGUGAUGCAUUUUUACUGGAACCGGCCCAAAUGUGCUUGCUAUUUGGGCUGGUGGUUUUUCAAAUUUAUUUCUUAAAUACAAAAUAUGUUAUGUUGCUGUCAACUAUUUUCUAAAUCAUAUUUUCAAGAUCCAAUUCCAGAAUCAGAAUUGGGUUAAUUCUUGCUUUUAAAAAUGUUGUAAGAACAAUUUGUACACUAGUUUUAUUAUUUAUCUUUCAGAUCCAGGAUCAGUUUCACAGAAUCACAAUGGUGCACCUUGAAUCAAAGUUAAUGUCCAAGCUGGAUGAAUUCACUCCCCAGGCUUCUGAAACUCUUCCAUUCCAAGGGUGUCUAAAUGCUUGCCAUCUCAAUCUGAUUUCACCAACUGGCAGAAUUCAAAAAGACUGAGGUAACUUCUAAAAUAAGCGAAGGAGCAGAGUUGAUCCAGUUGCUGUGGAUUUAGGAAUGAGCUUAGAGUGCCAUAUAGAGAUGGAGAAACUAAUUUAUAUAGCAAUGGAUUGAUUUAAUUUACAAAUAUUUACAGUUGAGACUCGGUUCGUACUAUCAUCUCUGGUGUCACUGAAUUGUUUUGCUUUGUUAGUGAGCUGAUUUCAUCCUUUCUAAUUUACCUGUCAUGAAAAUAUGCUUUUACAAGUACAUGAUCUCUUUCUAAAUCUCUGAUGUAAAUGGGGUGCAUUAUGUGCAACAGCUAUUUCAGCCGCAGGUUUUCUUGUCCAAAGUGUUGGAAGCAAUUUCGGAGAUGUUUAAUUAGGACCUUAUCCUUUGGCUGUACAGUCUGAAAUACACAAUGUUCUUGCUAUUUCGGGAUGCUGACGAACAGUGUGUUGCAGGACCUUGCUGUACAAAGGAUCAAAAUCUACAACAUCAAGAGUGAUGCGUCGGAGGGCCGGCUGACAUUGGUAUCGUAGUAGAGGGCAUGAAAGUUCUGACUGCUCUUGGUAACUUUCCAAAGACUUGCUCCAUGCUCCUUGGGUUUACAUAUGCAGUGAAUUUUGCCUAUCCCGAGGAGCUCAGGUGUACAUUUGAAGUCUUCCAGAAACUCUUCCUUGAGCUGGAUUGUUCAAAGCUGUCCCCAAAACUGAGCAGCCUCAAGAAUAAGCUACUAGCUUAAGAAAAUGGACCUUUGCAGAAUGAAAGGGAAUUGUUGUGGCACUGUCAACUGUCACAUGGUUAUCAAGGUUUUGUUAAAUACUUGUGUCGGGGCUGCAGGAGGUUGUUCCGAUUUGAGGAGAGUGGCAUCAUGUUUUUGAUUUUAUGUUGGCACAGCCAACUAUUUUUGUGCAGUGAUUAUUUCACAUGUUUUAAUUGAGGCAUUUGAAUUUGCACAAAUACAUAAUGUAAUUGUUCAAGUGAGUCCCAUUUUUGUAAGUGAAGAAGUAAUGCAAAUGGAAGUACUUCUGUCUGUUUUCUUAAAAUACGAAAUGCAUUUUAUUUUUAUAAAAUAAAUAAAACAAUUUUAUUGUUUUAUUUUGGCAUUUUGCACUUGAAAAAUGUUGUGUAAACAUGUUGUGACAAAGUUGCACAAAUAAAUGUUUACCUUCCGUUA